AUUGAACGCUGGCGGCAGGCCUAACACAUGCAAGUCGAACGAGUGGCGGACGGGUGAGUAAUGUCUGGGAAACUGCCUGAUGGAGGGGGAUAACUACUGGAAACGGUAGCUAAUACCGCAUACCAUCAGAUGUGCCCAGAUGGGAUUAGCUUGUUGGUGGGGUAACGGCUCACCAAGGCGACGAUCCCUAGCUGGUCUGAGAGGAUGACCAGCAAAACUGGAACUGAGAAAAGGCCCAAACUCCUACGGGAGGAAGCAGUGGGGAAUAUUGCACAAUGGGCGAAAGCCUGAUGCAGCAAUGCCGCGUGAAUGAAGAAGGCUUUCGGGUUGUAAAGUACUGUCAGCGGGGAGGCGUUACCCGCAGAAGAAGCACCGGCUAACUCCGUGCCAGCAGCCGCGGUAAUAC
rnacentral:rRNA from 1 species